GGUGGAGCGAUUUGUCUGGUUAAUUCCGAUAACGAACGAGACUCUAGCCUACUAAAUAGUUGUUGAAUUUUUAGUUCAACAUACUCCUUAGAGGGACAAGGGGUAUCUAGCCCCACGAGAUUGAGCAAUAACAGGUCUGUGAUGCCCUUAGAUGUCCGGGGCUGCACGCGCGCUACACUGAAGGAGUCAACAUGCAUUAAAACCUAGUCUGGAAAGACCGGGUAACCCAAUGAAACUCCUUCGUGAUUGGGAUAGGGAAUUGUAAUUAUUUCCCUUGAACGAGGAAUUCCUAGUAAAUGCGGGUCAUCAUCUCGCGUUGAUUACGUCCCUGCCCUUUGUAC
rnacentral:rRNA from 1 species